rnacentral:rRNA from 11 species
GCAAUCAUACCAGCACUAAUGCACCGGAUCCCAUCAGAACUGCGAAGUUAGGCGUGCUUGGGCGAGAGUAGUACUAGGAUGGGUGACCCCCUGGGAAGUCCUCGUGUUGCACCCC